GACGAAGGAUGCAAGCGUUAUCCGGAUUCAUUGGGUUUAAAGGGAGCGUAGGCGGAUUUGUAAGUCAGUGGUGAAAUCUCUGGGCUCAACCCAGAAACUGCCAUUGAUACUGCAGAUCUAGAGUACAGUUGCCGUUGGCGGAAUAUGACAUGUAGUGGUGAAAUACUUAGAUAUGUCAUAGAACACCGAUUGCGAAGGCAGCUAACGAAACUGUAACUGACGCUGAGGCUCGAAAGUGCGGGGAUCAGACAGG
rnacentral:rRNA from 1 species